GUAGGGUGCGASCGUUAAUCGGAUUUACUGGGCGUAAAGCGUGCGCAGGCGGCCCGUUAAGACAGGUGUGAAAUCCCUGGGCUCAACCUAGGAAUUGCGCUUGUGACUGGCGGGCUCGAGUACGGUAGAGGGGGGUGGAAUUCCUGGUGUAGCAGUGAAAUGCGUAGAGAUCAGGAGGAACACCGAUGGCGAAGGCAGCCCCCUGGGCCUGUACUGACGCUCAUGCACGAAAGCGUGGGGAGCAAACAGGAUUAGAUACCCUGGUAGUCCACGCCCUAAACGAUGGGUACUAGCCGUUUGGUGCGCGAUAGCGCUGAGUGGCGAASUAACGCGUGAAGUACCCC
rnacentral:rRNA from 1 species